UGCACAUGCGGUGUUUUUUGUUGUUGUUGUUGUUGUUGUUGCAUUUGUUUUGGGGGUUUGUGUGUUUUUGCUGUUGCCUCGUUUCCGUAUUUGCAGCGUGUUUGCUGUUCAUGUCUUUGUUUUGGCUUCCUGCAGCACGUUUUUUCAUUUGCAGCGCGUUCCUGUUGGUUUUGUAUUUUCAUAUGUGUUUUUUCGAAUCUGCAUCGUUUAUGAAUUUUGCAGCUUGUUUUUUGCUACUGGGAGUGUUUUGGGCCGUUGCAGCGCGUUUGCCCAAGUUGGCCACAGUAUGGAGACAGGCACAGUUUCCCAGGAGCUGGUGGAGGAAGCAUCUGUAGAAGAGCAGCAGCUCCUCUUCCCUCACGGCCCUUCACGGAGCAACAAGGCUCCAGCCCAGGUCAUGACAGCCACCGGGGACAUUGAGCGCUCUGGCCGGCCUGCUCACAGCAGACCGCAGCACACAGGUUCUAAUCCACCUAGCACAGCAAAGCACAGCACAGCUAAGCAACAGAAGUAUUAACCUUUGUUAAUGUACAUGUUGGUUAAUGUCUUGUUAUUGUAAUGUUUGCUUAGGUUGUGGUUAGUCACAGAGUUAAUUGGGUACUUGUAUGUUCACACACAUACCCGUAGUAUGUCUCGGCUCUAGAACCUGCAUGCAGCUAACCUUCUCCCGCUAACCUGGUACCUUUAGACUACAUGAGCUAGACUAACAAAGAAACUCACACCUUCCCACCCCCACACACCAAGUGGUUUCAGCGGCCAUUUUGAGUAGUUACUUUGUUUACCGCCAUCUUGUGUAGUCUUCUUUGUUCAGGCUAUGUGGUCACAGCAACCAUUUUAAAUCAGCCAUCUUGCCGUAUAACUGCUGGUGUGUUUAAUGUUGCACAAGUGUGAGUAUUGCCAUCCUCUACAGAGUAGAACUCCAAUCCUUCAACUUUAACUUACUGUUGAUAUCGUAAUUUGGAUAUAGUUAUUAAGUUAAUUAUUAAUCAGAGUUCCAGAUUAAUAGUAAUAAUUUGAGGUACUGCCUCUGGUAAUAUCAAAAAGCUUUUCCAUUAAAAGCAUGACGUGUGCAGAACAGUGAGAAAGAGAAAGGGAGUGGGUCUACAAAUCUUCAUCUGAAUACUGUCCACACCAGGAAAACAUUGCAUUCUGCAUUUGCAUUCUCUCUCCUACUUUAGGAGUAUUGUUUUCUUUUAAUCACAAGUGUGUUUUUCAUCUAAACUUAACUAAGAAGUUCUAGUUUCCUAAACUUAACCAUCCAGGUAACACAUUAGAAAAUGCUCACAUUAGCUGUUUUGCAGGCAAACAACCUCUAAUUUUGUUUAGACCUGAGGUCCUUGUUAAAUAUGUUUAAUAUUCUCUAUUUUGAGGAAAAGAGUGAGUGUUUUCUUCAUAAUUUAAGUAUAAAGCUCUGUUGGAUUUUUUUUUUAUGGAUUUUGACAUGCCUGUCAGCCAUGUGCCCUCAGUGUCAGAAUGAAGCUGAAUGAACUUUAAAGAACUUUGUCUCAUCUCAUUUAGUUUGAGCCACCACACCUGAGCACAGAUGUAGAAUACUGGACUUUACACUUUUUGUUCACACUUUUUUUUUUUGCUUGUUAAACACAUGACAGUUUGAAUUUUACUCUUACUCUGCAAUGAUUUACUCUGAGGAGGCAGGUUGAGAUUACCAGUACUCAACACCCUGACAGGAUUUGCUUUUUUGUGGGGUGAAUGCAGUUAGCCUUUGUGUCAGAGAAACAUCCCAAGGCAGCUAAUACAAAUUUAUAAACUGCAAAGGUACGUGAGUGAUAAUUGUUAGGAGUGCCUUGUGAUCAUAAGGUUCAGAAUUUAGGAACAACCUUUCAAACUUUAUAUUGAUCUGUAUGUUUGGCUGAUGCUACAACAGUAAUUUAACUGCAUGACUAAUGUGGCAAUUUUAUCAACAAAGCAAGAACUUCAACACAGAAAGCUCACGUCUAAGGAAGGCUGGUCAGAAAAACACAAAACAAACCAAAAAAUAUUAAACUGAGAAGAAAGCUACACUGAGUUGCAUCCAUUUUUUUCUGGCUCCAGAAACUAAUUAUCCAUAAUUGAAUAACUAUUUGGAAUACUUAUAAAUGGAAAGUGAAAUACAGCUAAUUACAAAUGAAUAUACACUUUUUAGUAAUGAUUAGUACUUCAUGAAAACAAGGCCGGCCCAAGGCAUACUUGGGCUCAAUCCCAUUUCACCCCUUGCCCCUACCACUUAGCCCUACCCCUCCGUUUUGCGUGAUCACGUUUAGGCGUAGGGUGUCCCGAUUUGUUGUAUUAAAUUCUCACUAAAAUAUACUAUGCAUUAUAAACAUACUGAAUGUUAAAUUUAUAUAAUCCAAUGGAAUAGCUAUGCUCACAACUGAGGUUAGAUUUGUAUGUGAACCAGCCUUUACUGAACUAGGAUUGUUAUUGAAUCGAACCUGGAGGGAAUAAAGUAAAACAAAAAUGGUGUGAAGGCCCUGGGAGCAAUGGUGUUGGAGUAGCAGCUGUAGUGAGGCCUAGAUUGAGGAUAGACGAGAGCCUUAGGUUUAGGGUAAUUGGGAGGCUUUUGGAUGCCUGGACCUACUACACGCCUUGUCCACAGGAGUCUUAGUUAGGGUAGAUGAGAGGCUUCUCGACACCUGGUCCUACUACUCUACCUUGGCAGGCCUGUUUUGGGGAAUUCCACACGGGGCUGGACACCAUUGUUCCCAAGGCGUUGAUAGGUUCCCUUUAGAAAAUAAGUGUAGAACCCACCUCUUUUCCUCCAACAGAUUCUUGUUGAGAUAGAGGGGUAGGGUGAAGUGGAGGGGCUAACUGGGCCUUCAAACGAAGAUUUUUCAAGGGCACACUUUAAACCGAGUGUCAUGAGAUAUUUUCCCGAAUGCCUUGGGAAUCACCGGCAAGAUGGCUGAGUCACCGACCCAAGCGACCAAAGAGACUCAUGUAAUUUUCUCCGUUAAUAAAGAUUUAAAAAUUAUGGCAACCAUUGUUGUUUCAAUUAAUUAUGGUCCUUUUCUUCAUGAAAGCCACACAAAAAAUCGCUAGUAGUAUGCUGAUGUCUCUGUAUCUAUGUUAGCUUUACAUCUUUAUUACUGAUGCAUGACAAUCCCACAUUUUGGCAUAUUUUAAUGCUGCAUUCCCACCCCAUUUGAUGGCAUAUGACAUCCUAAAUUUGACUCCAACGUCCAGCAUCUGCUUAAGUGAAAGCCAUCGGAGACUACUGAUGACGUAUUGCGUUUUUAAAGGGGUGUCCCAUUUUAUAGGGGUAAAUUUCAAGGGCUACCCCUUGUAACUCAGUUCCAAGAGGCAGGGGACAAGGGAUAAAGCUAUUAUACACAUGUAUGUACUGUACAGUCUGCUACAGUGCUGAAAUAUAACACUAUAGCUUACUAUAGGUAUGUAUUUUAACACAAAAAAUUUUUCAACACAGAAAUAAUAAAAACAUUUUAAUCGACGCGCACCGCCCGUGGCAACCAGCACACACGCCCAUACCUAGGGCACACAGCAUCUAUCUGUGCGCAUGGUGUGCACUCUCAUGCCAAGAGCCGCUGUUGCUGUUCGCUCUGAGAUUUAUUUGAUUGUUAUUUUUUGUUUAUUGUAUGUUGGUGUUUGGAUUUUACAAUUGCUCUACCUGGAGAUGACGCACAGGUUCUCAGAGACCAGUUUGGCUGGACUGCACAGCAGCCGGCAGCCCUGUUCUUUGUCAACAAUGAAGGUAAUUAUUGCUCACUAUAGGCCUACUAUUUACAAAAUCAAAAACUAGUUUGUAUUCACUAAAUAAGGUUUGUGAGAUGGCUGCUUCUGUGACUAUCCCGCAUCCUACCUGGAGUGGUCAUGCUGAUAGAUGUUUUUCUACUUUCCAAUUUUUUGCGGGUACACAGGCUAAACCCAGUGUGUAAAAUUGCGAUCACAUCGCGAUUUCUCUUUCUCUCUCUCUCCCUAAUGUGAUAUGAGCCUUACUAUAUUAUGACGUUUUCAUUUUUCGUGCCUUACUAUACUAUGAAAUUUUAUGCUUUCCUAUACUAUGACGAUUUUAUGCCUCACUAUGACAUUAUUAUGCCGUAAUAUUGUAUGUGCUUUUUAUGCCUUACUAUACUAUGAUGUUUUUAAGCCUUACUAUAAAAUUACUUUUCUAUUCUUUACUAUAUACCGUUUUUAUGCCUUACUGUAAUAUUACAUCGUUUAUGUCUUACUAUACUAAGACGUGUUUAUAAUGAUUUUAUGCCUCAUAUACUAUCAUGUUUUUUAUGUCUUACAAUUCUAUGAUUUUUUAUUAUGUUGUUAUACGUCACUAUUCUGACAAUUUUAUGACAUUUUUAUGCAUUACUAUACUAUGACGUCAUUUUUUUGUAUCACUAUACUUUAAUUUUUUUAUGCCUCACUAUAGUGUGACUUUUUUUCUGCCUCAUUAUACAAUGAUGUUUUUUAUUGCUUACUAUACUUUUACGUUUUUAUGAUGUUUUUGAUGCCACAUUAUACUAUGAGUGUUUAUGAUGUUUUAAUGCCUCACUAUACUACGUUUUUUAUGUCUUAAUAUACUAUGAUGAUUUUAUAACGAUUUUAUCCCUCACUAUAGUAUGACUUUGACUAUGUCCUUUUCAUACUGUUUUCAUGCCUUACUAUACUGUGAAGUUUUAGAUGUUUUUUUGCCUUACUAUUCUAUGUCGCUUUAAUGCCUUUAUACACUAUGACGUUUUUGUGAUGUUUUUUUACCUUGCUAUACUAUGACAUUUUUUACGCCUUAUCAUUCUAUGACAUUUUUAUCCCUUACUAACCUUUGACUUUUUUUAUACCUUACUAUACUAUGACAUUUUCAUGAUAUUUUCAUGUCUUACUAUACUAUGAUGUUUUUAUGCCUGUUUUUAUGCCUAAUUAUACAAUGAUGUUUUUUUUCAUUACUAUAAUAUAACAUUUUAAUGAUGUUUUUAUGCCUUACUGUAUUAUGACGUUUUUAUGUCUUACUAUAGUAUGACGUCUUCAUGAUGUUUUCAUGCCUUACUAUACUAUGAUGUUUUUAUGCCUUAUUAUACUAUGAUG